AACAAACGCUGGCGGCGCGCCUAAUACAUGCAAGUCGAACGGGGAAAGCUUUCGGGUGAGUACUAGUGGCGCACGGGUGAGGAACGCGUGGAUAAUCUGCCUUAGAGUGGGGGAUAACUAGUCGAAAGAUUAGCUAAUACCGCAUAAGACCACAGGAGCUGCGGCUCAAGGGGUCAAAGGUUUUUCGCUCUAAGAUGAGUCCGCGUAAGAUUAGCUAGUUGGUGAGGUAACGGCUCACCAAGGCGACGAUCCUUAACUGGUCUGAGAGGAUGAUCAGUCACACUGGAACUGAGACACGGUCCAGACUCCUACGGGAGGCAGCAGUAGGGAAUAUUGCACAAUGGAGGAAACUCUGAUGCAGCGACGCCGCGUGAGUGAUGAAGGCCUUCGGGUCGUAAAGCUCUGUCGCAGGGGAAUAACACAAUGAAGGUACCCUGUAAGAAAGGAUCGGCUAACUUCGUGCCAGCCGCCGCCGUAACAC
rnacentral:rRNA from 1 species